rnacentral:rRNA from 1 species
GGGCCCGCACAAGCAGUGGAGUAUGUGGUUUAAUUCGAAGCAACGCGAAGAACCUUACCAGGGCUUGACAUCCCGCGCAUAGCAUAGAGAUAUGUGAAGCCUUUCGGGGCGCGGAGACAGGUGGUGCAUGGUUGUCGUCAGCUCGUGUCGUGAGAUGUUGGGUUAAGUCCCGCAACGAGCGCAACCCCUGUUGUCAGUUGCCAUCAUUAAGUUGGGCACUCUGGCGAUACUGCCGGUGACAAAUCGGAGGAAGGUGGGGACGACGUCAAAUCAUCAUGCCCCUUAUGUCCUGGGCUACACACGUACUACAAUGGACGUAAACAGAGGGAAGCGAAGGAGUAAUUUGGAGCAAAACCCAAAGACGUCCUCAGUUCGGAUUGUGGGCUGAAACCCGCCCACAUGAAGUCGGAAUUGCUAGUAAUGGCAGGUCAGCAUACUG